rnacentral:rRNA from 1 species
GAUGAACGCUAGCGGCAGGCUUAAUACAUGCAAGUCGUGGGGCAGCAUGAAGUAGCAAUACUUUGAUGGCGACCGGCAAACGGGUGCGGAACACGUACACAACCUUCCUUUUAGUGGGGAAUAGCCCAGAGAAAUUUGGAUUAAUACCCCGUAACAUAGCGAUGAGGCAUCUCAUUGCUAUUAUAGCUUCGGCGCUAGAUGAUGGGUGUGCGUAUGAUUAGAUAGUUGGCAAGGUAACGGCUCACCAAGUCUACGAUCAUUAGCUGAUGUGAGAGCAUGAUCAGCCACACGGGCACUGAGACACGGGCCCGACUCCUACGGGAGGCAGCAGUAAGGAAUAUUGGUCAAUGGACGAAAGUCUGAACCAGCCAUGCCGCGUGAAGGAUUAAGGUCCUCUGGAUUGUAAACUUCUUUUAUAUGGGACGAAAAAAGGUCUUUCUAGAUCACUUGACGGUACCAUAUGAAUAAGCACCGGCUAACUCCGUGCCAGCAGCCGCCGCUGUAA